ACUGCUCUAGCCUGUGAAAUCUCAGUAAUUUUCCUAAAUUACAAGGAUCAAUGCUUCAAGAGGUUCAUGAUGUUGGGAUGCUGUUUUUGUCGUUCUGUUGGGAAUUUUGAGGACCACUACUCGAUGAAUUAUCUGCACCAAUACACAUGGGCAAUCACCAACUGUGCCACCUGUGCGGUAAACAUGGGUCAGCUCUUCACAACUACCAACAAGAAACUGCAGCGAAGAUCAUUCUGCGGUAUUCGGAGUUCUCAAGUUGCGGACGACAUGUGCUGAGACUCAAGCAUGAAAAAUCAGCAGUGUUUUUUCCUUUUCUUAUUUGAUAGAGUGGAUUGUUUUUCAAAGAUGUGACCAACAUCUUUCUAAUGGGGUAGCAGUCCCUGGAAAUGCCUACAACAAUGAUGCAAUUCAGCAUGGCAUGUGUACCAGUGGCAAAUAAGAGACAAAAAUUUACAGUUUUAAUAUGAAGAAUCAUGGUACCAAUGAAUCACAGUGUGAAUAGAAUCAAAAGAUCAAAUCCCAAAGGCAAAAAAGGUUUAAAGAACUUAGCUGCAUAAUCAUUAUAGCUAGGCAUUUAUAGCUACACCAGGAAAGUCUCUCAUUGUGGAUGAUUAUGGACAGGUUAGAGAGGUAGGGAGGGAGGACCCACCUGGCACAACUCUAGUUAUACGUCUCUUUAGUCCAACUUCAAGAUGCCUUUGCUUCCGAUAGAAAAAAGGCAAAAAUGCUCAACUUCUCUAUUGGAUAUGGGAAAGCUUAUGUUAGACUGGCCCGUGAUUAGGAGUGGCACUACUAAAGAGCAUGGAAUUAAUGAGGUAUAAAAUAAUUAACGAAGAUAAGGAAUCCAUUUCACUUUUGAACUUUGUUUUAUAUUUAUUUUCCUUACGGGAAUUGUACCUUACAUUAGACAACAAACAUGCCAGAUUGGCAUGUGGGUUAAGAGUCUCGACCUAAAUGGGUUGGGCUUAGGCCUAAUAUAGACCCACCAACGGGCCUAGACUUAAUUUAAAAUGGGUUAGCCUCAGGCCUAAGUCGGGCUGGUUUGCAGGUUAACUGACCCAACUUGCUUUUGUGGUAGUUCAGGCCAAACUAUUUGGGCAGUGGAUCAGGUUUGAGCUAGAAAUAUGUUCAUUUAAAUAAAUAGGUUGGGCUUGUGUUGAACCCUACCUGCCCACUUUGGUUAUUAAUGGGUUGUGCCAGAUUAUUCGGCUUGGCUUGACCCAAAAACCAAAACAAAAUAAAGAAAAGUAUAGAUAAAUUCAUUGUCUACACUCGAACUCAACCUGAUUCCUUGAGUCCAAUUUAUUGAACCUGAACUCGUUAAAAUUGGGUCAGGUUUGUAGGUCGAGUUCAUCGGGUACCCAUGGCUUCGGGUACCCAUUGACAUCCUUACUGACCUUAAUGCAACGAGUGACAAACAGGUCAGAUUUGUAUAAGGGGCCAGUAUCGACCUUUUAAAUUAAUGGGUCGGCUGCUUUUGAUUGCUAGCUAAUCUAAACUAGCUUUGAAUUUUAAUGGAUCAAGUAUUGGUCCAAAACUUGAAGUAGAUUCUUAAAUGGUUGGGUACGAGGAUCUCCUAAACCCUACCCGACCAAACCCAACCCAACCCAACCUAUCCUAUUUGCAACUCUACCCAUUGGGAUUUUGGGCUUUUAGCUGCUAUGGGCCUAGCUUAAGAUUAAAAUUCAAGCCCUUUUUUUUUUUUUUUUUUUCAAGCGGGCUGAUUUGGACUAUACAUUAUCCAAGCCUGGCCCGUCUAAUUAGUGUUUGAAAGGGUGUUGCAACACACACAGAGGAAAUGGUACUAUGAGGUCAACCUCAUGGGAGUUUCCCAUUAGGCUGAGCUUUGUGGACCCACCGUGAUCUAUGUUCUACGUUGGACAUCCACAACAUGCAUUUGGUGGGUCCCCUCUAGGUUAUGAUAUAUCAUAAAAAUAAACCGUAUCCGGAACUCAAGUGGGUCACACCAUCUGAAAUUGUGAGAAAUCAUGCCUAAAACAUUUAAAAUCACUUGUGUGGGGCCCACCCGAGUCUUGUGUACGGCUAAAACUUGGUGUGACUUCUUUCCCAUGCCUUCCCUUUUCUCUAUCAUUUUAAGGAUUGAGCCCAAAA